rnacentral:rRNA from 1 species
GAUCAUGGCUCAGGAUGAACGCUAGCGACAGGCUUAACACAUGCAAGUCGAGGGGCAGCGGGGAGUAGCAAUACUCUGCCGGCGACCGGCGCACGGGUGAGUAACGCGUAUGCAACUUGCCUAUCAGAGGAGAAUAGCUCAUCGAAAGAUGAAUUAAUGCUCCAUGAAACAGGGGUCUCGCAUGGGAAUAUUGUUUAAGUAAUUACUAUCGCUG